rnacentral:rRNA from 1 species
AUCUUUCGCCAAUGGACGAAAGUUUGACGAGGCAACGCCGCGUGAGUGGUGAAGGUUUCGGAUCGUAAAGCUCUGUUGUUAGGGAAGAACAAGUACCGUUUGAAUAGGGCGGUACCUUGACGGUACCUAACCAGAAAGCCACGGCUAAAUACGUGCCAGCAGCCGCGGUAAUACGUAGGUGGCAAGCGUUGUCCGGAAUUAUUGGGCGUAAAGGGCUCGCAGGCGGUUUCUUAAGUCUGAUGUGAAAGCCCCCGGCUCAACCGGGGAGGGUCAUUGGAAACUGGGGAACUUGAGUGCAGAAGAGGAGAGUGGAAUUCCACGUGUAGCGGUGAAAUGCGUAGAGA